rnacentral:tRNA from 1 species
GUGGUGGCAGCUCAGUGGCAGAGCGCUUGCUUAGCAAGUGUGAGGCACUGGGUUCCAUUCUUAGCACCACA